rnacentral:snRNA from 1 species
AUACUUACCUGGCAGGGGAGAGACCAUGGUCAUGAAGGUGGUUUUCCCAGGUGAGGCAUAGGCAUUACACUCCAGCUGUGCCCUGUGAUUUCCCCAAAUGUGGGAAACUUGACUGCGAAUGA